rnacentral:rRNA from 1 species
GAUGAACGCUGGCGGCGUGCCUAAUACAUGCAAGUCGAGCGAACGGACGAGAAGCUUGCUUUUCUGAUGUUAGCGGCGGACGGGUGAGUAACACGUGGAUAACCUACCUAUAAGACUGGGAUAACUUCGGGAAACCGGAGCUAAUACAGGAUAAUAUUUUGAACCGCAUGGUUCAAAAGUGAAAGACGGUCUUGCUGUCACUUAUAGAUGGAUCCGCGCUGCAUUAGCUAGUUGGUAAGGUAACGGCUUACCAAGGCAACGAUGCAUAGCCGACCUGAGAGGGUGAUCGGCCACACUGGAACUGAGACACGGUCCAGACUCCUACGGGAGGCAGCAGUAGGGAAUCUUCCGCAAUGGGCGAAAGCCUGACGGAGCAACGCCGCGUGAGUGAUGAAGGUCUUCGGAUCGUAAAACUCUGUUAUUAGGGAAGAACAUAUGUGUAAGUAACUGUGCACAUCUUGACGGUACCUAAUCAGAAAGCCACGGCUAACUACGUG